rnacentral:rRNA from 1 species
UACGUAGGGUGCAAGCGUUGUCCGGAAUUAUUGGGCGUAAAGAGCUCGUAGGCGGUCUGUCGCGUCUGCUGUGAAAACUCGGGGCUUAACCCCGGGCCUGCAGUGGGUACGGGCAGACUAGAGUGCGGUAGGGGAGACUGGAAUUCCUGGUGUAGCGGUGAAAUGCGCAGAUACCGGGAGGAACACCCGCAGCGAAGGCGGCUGGCUGGGCCAUUCCUGACGCUGAGGCGCGAAGGCUCGGGGAGCGAACGGG